AUAAUUGCAAAAGAAAAGAACAGAACAAGGGAGAAAAAAGAAAGAAAGAAAAAAAAACAGAAAUUUGUUU
rnacentral:ribozyme from 13 species